rnacentral:rRNA from 1 species
CCUACGGGGGACAGCAGUGAGGAAUAUUGGUCAAUGGGCGCGAGCCUGAACCAGCCAAGUAGCGUGAAGGAUGACUGCCCUACGGGCUGUAAACUUCUUUUAUAAAGGAAUAAAGUGAGGCACGUGUGCCUUUUUGUAUGUACUUUAUGAUUCAGGAUCGGCUAACUCCGUGCCAGCAGCCGCGGUAAUACGGAGGAUCCGAGCGUUAUACGGAUUUAUUGGGUUUAAAGGGAGCGUAGAUGGGUUGUUAAGUCAGAUGUGAAAGUUUGCGGCUCAACCGUAAAAUUGCAAUUGAUACUGGCAGUCUUGAGUACAGGUGAGGUAGGCGGAAUUCGUGGUGUAGCGGUGAAAUGCUUAGAUAUCACGAAGAACUCCGAUUGCGAAGGCAGCUUACUAAACUGCCACUGACAUUGAUGCUCGAAAGUGUGGGUAUCAAACAGGAUUAGAUACCCUUGUAGUC